AGAAAGGGGGGGCGGCCUACACAUGCGAGUCGAGCGGUAGCACAAGAGAGCUUGCUCUCUGGGUGACGAGCGGCGGACGGGUGAGUAAUGUCUGGGAAACUGCCUGAUGGCGGGGGAUAACUAGUGGAAACGGUAGCUAAUACCGCAUAACGUCGCAAGACCAAAGUGGGGGACCUUCGGGCCUCACGCCAUCAGAUGUGCCCAGGUGGGAUUAGCUGGUAGGUGGGGUAACGGCUCACCUAGGCGACGAUCCCUAGCUGGUCUGAGAGGAUGACCAGCCACACUGGAACUGAGACACGGUCCAGACUCCUACGGGAGGCAGCAGUGGGGAAUAUUGCACAAUGGGCGCAAGCCUGAUGCAGCCAUGCCGCGUGUGUGAAGAAGGCCUUCGGGUUGUAAAGCACUUUCAGCGAGGAGGAAGGGUAAUGUGAUAAUAAGACAUUGCAAGAGCUUUUUUUAUUU
rnacentral:rRNA from 1 species